GAUCUGGCUCAGGAUGAACGCUAGCGACAGGCUAACACAUGCAAGUCGAGGGGCAGCAUAAAAGUAGCAAUACGUUGGUGGCGACCGGCGCACGGGUGAGUAACGCGUAUGCAACCUACCUAUCGAGACGGGGAAUAACCCGGCGAAAGUCGGACUAAUACCGCAUAAAACAGGGGCACCGCAUGGUGAUAUUUGUUAAAGAAAUUCGCUGAUAGAUGGGCAUGCGUUCCAUUAGGUAGUUGGUGAGGUAACGGCUCACCAAGCCGACGAUGGAUAGGGGAACUGAGAGGUUGGUCCCCCACACUGGUACUGAGACACGGACCAGACUCCUACGGGAGGCAGCAGUGAGGAAUAUUGGUCAAUGGGCGGGAGCCUGAACCGGCCAAGUCGCCGUGAAGGAAGAAGGAUCUAUGGUUCGUAAACUUCUUUUGCAGGGGAAUAAAGUGCAGGACGUGUCCUGUUUUGUAUGUACCCUGAGAAUAAGGAUCGGCUAACUCCGUGCCAGCCGCCGC
rnacentral:rRNA from 1 species